GGGGGUGACAGGUUUCGACAUUGUCUGAUCAUUCCGGAAAGAAGCGGGUAAGGAAGCGCACGGGAAUCCUUUCAAAAAUCCGGGCACCCAGAGAUGCCAACGCAACUCGCAACGACUACGCCCUGGCCUCCUGACGGAGCCGGGACCCCAUGCGUGGUCUGUCUCAAACCGCAUCAGGCAAAUGGUUUCGGCCGCGGUUUAGGCAUCAGCAAAAAGGACACCCGAAUGACGGCAGCGCUGCGGGCCGGCAUUCGUAUCAGCAGCUAGACCGGGACGGUCCGUUGUCCGCCAUGGACUGUCCGGGUCGAUAAGCACCAAGGCGGACUACACCCGUAGAAGAGUUCGGAAUCAGACAGUGGACCCGGUUUCAAUACCGGCACCUCCACAU
rnacentral:tmRNA from 1 species